AAGUACCCCCACCAUGCUUACUUAAAUAUCUCAGCAUAUAGGUAUCUCUUCCUUAUGAGUCUAAUAUCCAAAUUUAGCCACUUACUUCUGUACCAUAACAAGGCAAAAGGCUGUCUCUUUUAUGCUGCAGCUCCACCAUUUUCAAGCUGGCAAGGCAUUGUGGAGAUUCUGCUCCAAUGGGAAACGGUAUUUAUAAUAUGCUGUAUGCUGUUACAAGCUCAUUACAUGCAAGACUCCUUCAAUUUUCAUAAGAACUCCUGAAAUAGAAAUUACUAUUGUUCUUACUCGACAGAUGUGUGCUACAAAUUAGGCUGUGGAACUUUGCAUUCCAGCAACGUCUUGUCUCGGCUGUACAACUGUUAUCUCAUGUAAACCUCGCAGCUGUGUCACUUCCUAACGACCACCAUCCUUGCAAGACAGCUGUUGUUCUUAAUUGGCAGAAAUAAAACA